ACCCCAUGGAGCUUUAAACUUAACACAACCUAUUUUCCCACACCCUAAUACCAAUAGAGCCCUGUGUAAUAAGUUUUAGGUUGGGGUGACCACGGAGCACAGCACAACCUCCAUGAUAAACAAAACUAAUCUUUUUAUCUAAGAGCUACACCUCUAAGAAUUAGCAUACUAAUAUUUAAUGACCCGAUAAUCGAUCAACGGACCAAGUUACCCUGGGGAUAACAGCGCAAUCCACUUCAAGAGCCCCUAUCGACAAGUGGGUUUACGACCUCGAUGUUGGAUCAGGGUGUCCUAGUGGUGCAGCAGCUACUAAAGGUUCGUUUGUUCAACGAUUAAACCCUACAUGAUCUGAGUUCAAACCGGACUC
rnacentral:rRNA from 1 species